rnacentral:rRNA from 1 species
GACGAACGCUGGCGGCGUGCUUAACACAUGCAAGUCGAACGGUGAAAGCGGAGCUUGCUCCGCUGGAUCAGUGGCGAACGGGUGAGUAACACGUGGGCAACCUGCCCCUGACUUCGGGAUAACUCCUCGAAAGAGGUGCUAAUACCGGAUACGACCCUCGGCGGCAUCGCCAGGGGGUGGAAAGAAUUUCGGUCAAGGAUGGACUCGCGGCCUAUCAGCUAGUUGGUGAGGUAACGGCCCACCAAGGCGACGACGGGUAGCCGGCCUGAGAGGGUGACCGGCCACACUGGGACUGAGACACGGCCCAGACUCCUACGGGAGGCAGCAGUGGGGAAUAUUGCACAAUGGGCGCAAGCCUGAUGCAGCAACGCCGCGUGAGGGAUGACGGCCCUCGGGUUGUAAACCUCUUUUAGUAGGGAAGAAGCGAAAGUGACGGUACCUGCAGAAAAAGCACCGGCUAACUACGUGCCAGCAGCCGCGGUAA